rnacentral:rRNA from 1 species
UCCGUAGGCGGAUUGAUAAGUCAGAGGUGAAAUCCCACAGCUCAACUGUGGAACUGCCUUUGAUACUGUUAGUCUUGAGUUAUAUGGAAGUAGAUAGAAUGUGUAGUGUAGCGGUGAAAUGCAUAGAGAUUACACAGAAUACCGAUUGCGAAGGCAGUCUACUACGUAUAUACUGACGCUAAUGGACGAAAGCGUGGGGAGCGAACAGGAUUAGAUACCCUGGUAGUCC